UGGGGAAUUUUGGACAAUGGGCGAAAGCCUGAUCCAGCAAUGCCGCGUGCAGGAUGAAGGCCCCUCGGGGUUGUUAAACUGCUUUUGUACGGAACGAAAAGCCUGGGGCUAAUACCCCCGGGUCAUGACGGUACCGUAAGAAUAAGCACCGGCUAACUACGUGCC
rnacentral:rRNA from 1 species